UGAGUGCAACACGAAGUAACUAGUUAAUAAUCUGCGAGUGCAACUAAUCCCGUUGCCACACGCUUCCACUUGCUGGAUGUAUGCGGGUGUGACAGCGUGUCAGCUGAACUCUGAAGUGUUGGUUGAAGCGGCUACGGCGGCGCUCGCGCGGACGCCGCGCCCGCUCAUGCUGCGGAUUGGAGGCAUCGAAAUCGCAGAGUCUCAAGGUCCCUCCAUUUAUUCCCCACCGCACCCACCGGGUAAUAAAUAACCAGACCCAAUUACGUAUGUUGUUUUUUG